rnacentral:rRNA from 1 species
CCGUUAUCCGGAUCGGGGACCGUGUAUGGUGGGUAGUUUGACUGGGGCGGUCUCCUCCUAAAGAGUAACGGAGGAGCGCAAAGGUACUCUCAGUACGGUCGGACAUCGUACGUUGCGUGCAAAGGCAUAAGAGUGCUUGACUGCGAGACAGACACGUCGAGCAGGGGCGAAAGCCGGUCUUAGUGAUCCGGUGGUUCUGUAUGGAAGGGCCAUCGC